GCAGCAAUAAGGAAUACGAGGAGGACCUACAAAACAACACGGAGUAAUUACGAGAUUAAAUUACGAAUAAUAAGUACGUUGGGUAUUAAACGAAGCAGAGAAAAUAUAAUAAAAUAGCAUCAUAUUGAGCAAAGCAACAAGAACUUCAACCACACUGCAAUAGUUUGCAACUCAGAAGAGAAAUGAGAGAUUGAGCCGAACCUGUUACAUUUACAAUAUAUCGAGAUGAGAA